rnacentral:lncRNA from 1 species
GGGCCCACAAAACCAACGUUUAGUCAAGGAUAACUCAACCGACCUCUGUUGGGGACGACUUGGUCGACCUAUGUGUGGGACAACUCGAGAUGACCUUUGAUCAAGAAUGAUUCGAGGCUGACCUUCGGUGAAGAUGAUUUAGAUUGACCAUUAGCCAAAUACAACUUAGGAUUGACCCUUAAUCGGGGAUGACUUGAACUGACAUUUAACCGAAGCUAACUCGGGUCAACAUUCGAUCGUGCAUGACUUAAGUCAAUCUUUGGUCGAGGUUGACUUGGCCGACUUGAGUCAACCUUUGACUGAGACUAACGUAAGCCUACCUAUGGUGGAUGCGGGUCAACCUUCGUCAAGACUAACUUAAAAUGAUAUUUCG